UGGGGAAUAUUGCACAAUGGAGGGAACUCUGAUGCAGCGACGCCGCGUGAGUGAUGAAGGAAUUCGUUUCGUAAAACUCUGUUCUAUGGGAAGAAAAGGACUGUACCAUAGGAGAAAGCUCCGGCUACAUACGUGCCAGCAGCCGCGGUAAUACGUAUGGAGCGAGCGUUGUCCGGAAUUAUUGGGCGUAAAGGGUGCGCAGGCGGCUUUACAAGUUGGAUGUGAAAUAUUGUGGCUCAACCACAAACGUGCAUCCAAAACUGCAAAGCUUGAGUUAAGGAGAGGUAAGUGGAAUUCCUGGUGUAGCGGUGGAAUGCGUAGAUAUCAGGAGGAACACCGGUGGCGAAGGCGACUUACUGGACUUAAACUGACGCUCAGGCACGAAAGCGUGGGGAGCAAACAGG
rnacentral:rRNA from 1 species